AUUGAACGCUGGCGGCGUGCCUAACACAUGCAAGUCGAGCGGUAACAGGUGUAGCAAUACAUGCUGACGAGCGGCGGACGGGUGAGUAACGCUUGGGAAUCUGCCUAUUAGUGGGGGACGAACCCGGGGAAACGUCGGGCUAAUACCGCAUACGCUCUACGGAGGAAAGCCGGGGACCGGCAAGGCCUGGCGCUAAUAGAUGAGCCCAAGUCGGAUUAGCUAGUUGGUAGGGUAANGGCCUACCAAGGCGACGAUCCGUAACUGGUCUGAGAGGACGACCAGUCACACCGGAACUGAGACACGGUCCGGACUCUUACGGGAGGCAGCAGUGGGGAAUAUUGGACAAUGGGCGAAAGCCUGAUCCAGCGACGCCGCGUGGGUGAAGAAGGCCUGCGGGUUGUAAAGCCCUUUCAGUGGGGAAGAAAAGCCUCGACCUAACACGUCGGGGUCUUGACGUAACCCAUAGAAGAAGCACCGGCUAACUCUGUGCCAGCAGCCGCCGC
rnacentral:rRNA from 1 species